rnacentral:rRNA from 1 species
CCCUUAGAUGUCCUGGGCUGCACGCGCGCUACACUGACGAACUCAACGAGCUUAUCACCUUGGCAGAGAUGUCUGGGUAAUCUUUUGAAAGUUCGUCGUGCUGGGGAUAGAUGAUUGUAAUUAUUCGUCUUGAACGAGGAAUUCCUAGUAAGUGUGAGUCAUCAGCUCGCGCUGAUUACGUCCCUGCCCUUUGUACACACCGCCCGUCGCUCCUACCGAUUGAAUGGUCCGGUGAGGUUCUCGGAUUUUUUCUGUUGUUUGGUUCGCUAAACGAUUGAAGAGAGAAGUUACCCAAACCUUACCAUUUAGAGGAAGGAGGAGUCGUAACA